CCUACGGGCGGCAGCAGUGAGGAAUAUUGGUCAAUGGACGAGAGUCUGAACCAGCCAAGUAGCGUGAAGGAUGACUGCCCUAUGGGUUGUAAACUUCUUUUAUAAAGGAAUAAAGUGAGGCACGUGUGCCUUUUUGUAUGUACUUUAUGAAUAAAGAUCGGCUAACUCCGUGCCAGCAGCCGCGGUAAUACGGAGGAUCCGAGCGUUAUCCGGAUUUAUUGGGGUUAAAGGGAGCGUAGAUGGGUUGUUAAGUCAGUUGUGAAAGUUUGCGGCUCAACCGUAAAAUUGCAAUUGAUACUGGCAGUCUUGAGUACAGUUGAGGUAGGCGGAAUUCGUGGUGUAGCGGUGAAAUGCUUAGAUAUAACGAAGAACUCCGAUUACGAAGGCAGCUUACUAAACUGCCACUGACAUUGAUGCUCGAAAGUGUGGGGAUCAAACAGGAUUAGAUACCCUAGUAGUC
rnacentral:rRNA from 1 species